rnacentral:rRNA from 1 species
AGUGAACGCUGGCGGUAGGCCUAACACAUGCAAGUCGAACGGCAGCACAGUAAGAGCUUGCUCUUACGGGUGGCGAGUGGCGGACGGGUGAGGAAUGCAUCGGAAUCUACUCUGUCGUGGGGGAUAACGUAGGGAAACUUACGCUAAUACCGCAUACGACCUACGGGUGAAAGCAGGGGAGUCUUCGGACCUUGCGCGAUUGAAUGAGCCGAUGCCCGAUUAGCUAGUUGGCGGGGUAAGAGCCCACCAAGGCGACGAUCGGUAGCUGGUCUGAGAGGAUGAUCAGCCACACUGGAACUGAGACACGGUCCAGACUCCUACGGGAGGCAGCAGUGGGGAAUAUUGGACAAUGGGCGCAAGCCUGAUCCAGCCAUACCGCGUGGGUGAAGAAGG